rnacentral:rRNA from 1 species
CAUGGCUCAGAACGAACGCUGGCGGCAUGCCUAACACAUGCAAGUCGAACGAAGGCUUCGCCUUAGUGGCACGGGUGAGUAACACGUGGGAACCUGCCUUUCGGUUCGGAAUAACGUCUGGAAACGGACGCUAACACCGGAUACGUCCUUCGGGAGAAAGUUUACGCCGAGAGAGGGGCCCGCGUCGGAUUAGGUAGUUGGUGUGGUAACGGCGCACCAAGCCGACGAUCCGUAGCUGGUCUGAGAGGAUGAUCAGCCACACUGGGACUGAGACACGGCCCAGACUCCUACGGGAGGCAGCAGUGGGGAAUAUUGGACAAUGGGCGCAAGCCUGAUCCAGCAAUGGCCGGUGAGUGAUGAAGGCCUUAGGGUUGUAAAGCUCUUUCGCACGCGACGAUGAUGACGGUAGCGUGAGAAGAAGCCCCGGCUAACUUCGUGCCAGCAGCCGCGGUAAUACGAAGGGGGCUAGCGUUGUUCGGAAUUACUGGGCUAAAGGGCGCGUAGGCGGCCUGUUUAGUCAGAAGUGAAAGCCCCGGGCUCAACCUGGGAAUAGCUUUUGAUACUGGCAGGCUUGAGUUCCGGAGAGGAUGGUGGAAUUCCCAGUGUAGAGGUGAAAUUCGUAGAUAUUGGGAAGAACACCGGUGGCGAAGGCGGCCAUCUGGACGGACACUGACGCUGAGGCGCGAAAGCGU